GUAGCUCAGUGGUAGAGCACUUGCUUUGCAUGCAGAAGGUCACAGGUUCAAUCCAUGACAUCCCA
rnacentral:tRNA from 1 species